CUCCUCCCUCCUUCUCCUGAAUUCCUCCCCCUGCUUGAAUGACAUCAAGGCUCUGGGGAAAUUUAAAACAGUUACUUUUUGCCAGAAGCUUGAAGAUUCUUGACCUCGACACAUGAUUGCAACUUGUUCUUCGUGUGCUCUGGGGUUGGCUAGAAGACAGGAAGGGCUCCUCCUCUGCUGGUGGAAAAAAUAGCCAUCGCCUUAUAUGGCUUCAAUUUGUACUGAGCCCCUUUUGCCUAUUUUUCAGACGUUCUGUGUGAUUUUGAGGAGCGUUUUGCUUUCUUCUGAAUGCACCGUGACCAUGCAGGAGCUCUGAGAACCACAAGCCUGCCUCUCCGUCUCCUCUGCCUGGCCCUCCCCAUCUCCCGUGUUCCCUCUUACUUCAGGUGUCUCUUGAUGAAGGGGUUGCUGUCAACUAAUGGCAAUCCUGUUUGAGAAAGAUGCUUCAGACUUUCCCCACACUCGGCAUUCCUACUGGGAGCUACGUAGAUCUAUCUGUCUGCCUGUCGUUGUGCCAGGGCUUCGCUGCAGAAAGUUACAGUUGAAUAUAAAGAAGUCUUGGAAUCCGAUCUGGAAUGGCUACUACACACGAACACGAUUGCUACAUUGCUCAAGCUGUUACUGAGAAUGAAUUCUAACAAAAGAAGAGAACUUGGGGUAAUUAGAAAAACACAGGAUGGAGCUGUGCAGUAUUGUUCUGUUAUGUGUAUUAGGAAGAAGAUCCCCCACAUUCCAGUCUCCCACAGACACGGCUCACCCAGGAAGAAGAUCCCCCACAUUCCAGUCUCCCACAGACACAGCUCGCCCGUCUAUUCUGAGCCACUUUGCUGGGUUUUCUAGAUAUGCAACUAAGAUCGCAGGACUGUCUGUUUUGCAGAAAGUGCACAUACAUGGUUAGGGUAUCUGUGUUUGUUUGGAUACUUUAUCUGCAUAAAGUUGGUAUAUGCCUUUGUGGUAUGCCCACAAGUCUAAUAAAUACAUAAAUAAAAAUA